rnacentral:rRNA from 1 species
CCUACGGGAGGCAGCAGUGAGGAAUAUUGGUCAAUGGGCGAGAGCCUGAACCAGCCAAGUCGCGUGAAGGAUGAAGGAUCUAUGGUUUGUAAACUUCUUUUAUAUGGGAAUAAAGUGAGGAACGUGUUCCUUUUUGUAUGUACCAUAUGAAUAAGCAUCGGCUAACUCCGUGCCAGCAGCCGCGGUAAUACGGAGGAUGCGAGCGUUAUCCGGAUUUAUUGGGUUUAAAGGGUGCGUAGGUGGUUAAUUAAGUCAGCGGUGAAAGUUUGUGGCUCAACCAUAAAAUUGCCGUUGAAACUGGUUGACUUGAGUAUAUUUGAGGUAGGCGGAAUGCGUGGUGUAGCGGUGAAAUGCAUAGAUAUCACGCAGAACUCCGAUUGCGAAGGCAGUUCGCUGGACUGCAACUGACACUGAGGCUCGAAAGUGUGGGUAUCAAACAGGAUUAGAUACCCGGGUAGUC